rnacentral:rRNA from 1 species
CACACCGCCCGUCACACCAUGGGAGCUGGCUGCACCAAAAGCAGGUUGCUUAACCGCAAGGAGGGCGCCUACCACGGUGUGGUUAGUGACUGGGGUG